rnacentral:rRNA from 1 species
CGAGAAUUUUUCUCAAUGGGGGAAACCCUGAAGGAGCGACGCCGCGUGGGGGAUGAAGGGCUUCGGCCCGUAAACCCCUGUCAUUUGCGAACAAACCUUGUCUGUUAACAGUAGGCAAGUUGAUUGUAGUGAAAGAGGAAGGGACGGCUAACUCUGUGCCAGCAGCCGCGGUAAUACAGAGGUCCCAAGCGUUGUUCGGAUUCACUGGGCGUAAAGGGUGCGCAGGUGGGUUUGCAAGUUCGAUGUGAAAGCCCCGGGCUUAACCCGGGAAUGGCAUUGGAUACUGCAGAUCUGGAGGAUCGGAGGGGGGACUGGAAUUCUUGGUGUAGCAGUGAAAUGCGUAGAUAUCAAGAGGAACACCAGUGGCGAAGGCGAGUCCCUGGACGAUACCUGACACUGAGGCACGAAAGCUAGGGGAGCAAAC